AGACACCGAGAAACAGAACGGUAUUUACAUUUGAUUAUGCAUGUUAUUCAAACUCAAGUAAGACUGUCAGUACUAGAAUUUUACGAGGAAUUAUGAUCGACCUCCAAACAUGCAGAGGCAGAAAAUGUAUCAGAAUUAUGAAAAGUUUAAUGUUUGUUGAUAGGCCUUUGCAAUUUAUAUGAGAACACAUUGUAAAGUGCCAAGUCAUGAAAGUCCAUUGAUGUUUGAAUGAUUUGUAAUUGGCUAAGCAAU
rnacentral:lncRNA from 1 species